CCAAGGCCAUAGCUAAAGCGUUUCCUAAUUUGGAGUGCACUGAUUUUGAUCUGCCACAUGUGGUUAAUGGCCUCGAAAGCGAUUUGGCCAAUCUCAAAUAUAUCGGAGGGGACAUGUUUGAGGCCAUUCCCCCAGCUGAUGCGGUUCUAUUCAAGGUACGCGUAUUGAUUUCGAUAGUUUAACUAAAGUGGUUUCUUGAGCAUAAAAUUAAUACACACACACACACUAGAAGCAUCUCAAAUUACUUAUGUACAUCAUAUAUUCAUUCAAUUUUACAUUUUGGGUCUUCAAAUAUUCUAAAUUCUAAUAUUAUUGGUGAUGACAAGCAGUGGAUAUUACAUGACUGGAAUGAUGAAGAAUGCGUGAAGAUUCUUAAGAAAUGUAAGGAAGCAAUUACGAGCGAUGGCAAGAAAGGUAAGGUGAUUAUUAUUGACAUGAUGAGAGAGAAUAAAAAAGGGGAUUCUGAGUCUAUUGAAACACAACUCUUCUUUGAUAUGUUGAUGAUGGUCUUGGUCACCGGAACAGAGCGAGAUGAGAAAGAAUGGGCCAAGCUUUUUGCAGAUGCUGGUUUUAGUGACUAUAAAAUUACCCCCAUUUUAGGUUUAAGAUCUCUUAUUGAGGUUUAUCCUUAAUAAGUUGUUUCUCGAUCCUAGGGUUAGACUGAGUAGUUUCAAAACAAUUUUAUUUAGAAGGAUCAUCUAAAUUUGAAUCUAAAAAAAUAUAAGAGUUAAAAUUUAAAUUAGACAUUACCUAUUAUAUCUUUUAUGUGAAUAUUAAAUGCUUGUUUAUGUAUUGUUGUAAUAAGCUUUAUUUUACUGGGGUUCUCCAGUGGGUUGUAACUUACCUAGUAUGUUAGUUGCAAAAUGAGAACCCAAGUUAGUAAUUUGCGAGUGUGCUAAAGAAAUGGAAGUUUUGUGAAAUAAAUAAAAAGAAAGCAUUCUGUACUAUUUAUAUGUUUUAGCACGUAUAUGAAUGAUAAUUUGGUCCCUGUUAUGUAUACUAAAUGUCCUACGUACAUAAUUAGGUCUCUAGAAAAUUUUUAAUAUUCGAUUUCAUCUAGGGUGUUAAAAUCGUGACAGAGAAAAACACACUACAUUGUCAUUGAAUUUAGAUAAUCUCUCAAAUAGAAGAAAUAUGCCGUUUGCAAUUCAAUUACAUUGUUUUUUUUUUCCUAAUGCGUUUACAGUGACAUGUUAGUUUUAUCAAUGGUUUAAAUUUCAAGCAAGGUUAUGAACAGGAUUUAUUAAAACAAUGGCAAUGAUAAUAAAAGACGAUAUUCUUCUAUUAAAUCAACUAUUUAAUGCACAAAAAAAAUCAUUAUCCUAAUCAUUGCAUUAUAAUCAAUAAUUUGAAUUUAAAUAAAUACUUAUUGGACAUUAAUAGACUGAUUUCCUGAGAAGUUUGACUUGAAUAAUACCUAUAAAAAAAAUCAAUUUUAUGUUUUAGUCUUAAGAUUUAAACUAGGGCGUCAUAUAAAUAAAACUGCUUAAAACUACUUGAUUAAAUUUUUUGGAGUAAAUAUAAUUACGUAUGUUUAACCCAAAAAAAUUUAAUAAAAUUAUUAAAUUAAUUAUUAUUUAGUUUUAGAAAGUAAAUAAAUGGACAAAAUCCAAAUCAAUUUUCAACUCUGUAUCUCACAAGACUUAAACUCAAUUAACUAACUAAAUAAAACUUUUGAAACCUAUUCAGAAAAUCAUUCCGCCAUGUCGUCGGGCAUAAGUAAUAGAGAAUUUUCUAUAUUGGAUAGGGCCCUAAGUGGGUCAACUUUGCUGAUCCAUAUGCUGAUGUUACCUUUUUUCAAAAAAAAAAAAUUCUUCUUAUUAAGCGAAGAUGCUGCCAAGCUUCUUGACCCAUUUUAUUUAUUUAUUUAUUUAAUAGGAUGGACAAAGUUAAAAGUUUAAUUAGAUUUAUUUAAUUUUUUAUUCCUCUUAAAAUUUGAAUUUGUGUGGGUAGCAAAAUAAAAUUACUUAAAAAUUAUUUGGUUAGAAUCAUGAGAUCGGUUUCUGCACCCAUUCAAGUAAAAAUGUUUAUAAAAAGGCUAAAUUUUGAAUUGUCUCCCUUCUGAAUUGAUCAUCUUCAAAUUAUUUUCUAACUUUUGAAAACCUCAAGUUACUCUUAUUUUUGUAUAAAAGAUAAAGAAAAAAGGAGUGAGUUGAUAUUUUUUUUCUUAAGAAAAAUAAGGAGUAAAUUGAGAUUUUUAAAAAUAAGAAGAGUGAUUUGAAGAGAAUAAAUUUACUAAUUAUCUUAUAUAAAUAUUAAUAAACAUUCUUAUAAAAUAGAUUGGAGGAAAAAUAUCGUGGCACGGGAUCAAAUUUGAAUAGCUUCGUCAACUCAAUAGAAUUAAUAUAAGAUUAAUCUCGAAAACAACAAUCCAUAACACGGUUCAUCAUUAAUGGGAAAAAGAAUAAUAAGGGUUAUUAUUAAAAUUCAGAGGGGUUUUUAAAGAAAAAGCAGAAUUUUUUAAAUUUUGGUGAUGGAUGUCAUGAUUCACGAGAAAUAGCAUGUAUCUCUAAAGGGCAUUUUUAAUGGGUUCAAUGUAUCCAUCUGCCGAGUGCCGACCCAUGUGCUGAUAAAAUUGAUAUUUAAAUUUUUUAAUACAUGGGGUUAUUUUUCGCCAUCCCCCAUAAGAAUCAACAAAUGUUACCGUAUACCCUAAUCUUUUAACAACUGUCACUACACACCCAUUCAAUUGGAAAUCACUAUUAACUUAACUGUUAUAAGGGUAAAAUAGUAAAGUUAUUGGGAUGGCUAAAGAAAAAAAGAAAAAUUUUAUUUUUUUCUCUUCCUUCUCCAUGACUCCAUUCACGUUCCAUCUUCUCUCCUCUAUUUACACUCCGCAACAAAGUGCUCAUUUUCUUCCCUUCUCCAUUCACGCUCCACAACAAGGUUUUUCACUUUUCCCUAGCAUCAACGUCACAAGGGUCACAUAACCAAUUGCACUACCGCAACAAAUGUCCAUUUCUGGGUGGAAACAAGCAGUAGGAGCAUGACGCUAGACCAAGAGGGUUCUAGCAGUUCAAAGAGUCAUGGGUUGCUGCUAACUAAUGCAGCGCCAACAAUGGUGACUAGCAACUAUAAAAUCCCAACCCCAAAAUUUUACGGUUCCAUGUUAUUAUUCAUUGAUUUUUAGGUUUGGGCAGUUGAUAGUUUGUUUGAUAUAUAAAUUAUUUUGAUUGUGCUAUGAAAUUGGAAGUUUAUGUCGUUGUCUGUGGUGCUUUCAAAGCAGAUAUUUGGUUAUUGCUAUAAAUACUGCCUUGAGGUUAGAGCUUGGAGUUGGAGAUGUCUUAUGGGUUUUGGUUCCAGGACUAAUAAUGUCCAAUUAAUUUUAGUUUUAAUUUAAUCUCUUUAAAAAAAUAGCUUUAAUUUAAUUUUAAUUAUUUUCGGUUUUCAUUUAACAUUGUUUUUACACAUUCUAUAAUUAUCUUUUUUGAAGAAAAUAAAGUGCCAACUGCCAAUUAACAUAUUCUUAUAAUUCCUUAAAAAUGUAUGGGCCAUUUAGUACUUGCAGUUAAUUCAAUUUAUAUGGGGGCAUUAUGGUGAUUUCAAUAGAUGUCUGACAAAAUCGUUAAGGUUAACAUUAAUUUCUAACGGAAUGUGUGUGCGGUGAUAGUUGCCGAAAGAUUAGGGUGCACAGUAACAUUUGUUGAUUCUUAUGGGGGGUGGCAAAAAAUAACUAAUACAUAAAACGGGGUAUUGAGUAUCGAGCAUCAAGGUCGUUCAAAUUAUAAAUUAUUAUAUAAUUUUUUAUUUAAAAAAAUGUAAAUCAGGGGGCUAAUCUAUAAUGCCUGCAAUUGAAAAUUCCUCAAAAGGCAAGAAGUUAAAGAAGGGAGUUAAUGUUGUGCGCAAAAUGUGAAAUCAAGCGCACCAAAUAAUCACAAAAAAAUAAAGAACACAAAAUUUAACGUGAUUCGGCAAUUUUGCCUACGUCCAUGGGAGGAAGAGAAAAUAAUUAUAUUAUUAACAAUUAUCAUAGUACAAUAUUUGAGUAGAAAUCUCGCUUCAUAAAACUCAAAUACACCCAGUACUCUCACACACUUGAAAGGAAAAACUUCUCAAUUGCUCAUACUCACUCUCAAUAAUUUUACAAAUGAAUUAUUAUUCACUCAAUUUUUUGGGAUGCUCAACAAAUGAAAAAACUCCAUCUAUUUAUAGGAAGCGUUUUGCACUAUUACACAUUCGCUGCCCACCUACAAUUUAGUCAAUUUUUCCAAAUUGUUAAAGUUGUUAUGAAAUUGUUAAAUUGUCACAUGCUUCACCAACUCAUUUAGCUUCAAUUUCCACGAUUCCGGCCACAUGCUUCAUCAAUAUUUCUAAUAUUGCAGCUAGAAGAUCAUGCAUGUUGACUUUUCAACAGUUAAUUCAUAUACUACGUUGACAAUAUUUAAGCUCGCUUCUCGUUAAUGACAGAUUGUACAGAGAGACAGGAUUGGCACCCAGUGCUGAUAUACACGCAUACACUGUCAUUAGGUCUUUCAAAAUCCAAAUUUAUUUGAAUUAAAGCAUUAUAGUAAAAGAGUUGAAGUCUUGGGGAAUAUGGUACAAUAAAAAAGAUUAUGCAUGUCUUGUGAUCUAUUGUUACAUGCCCCUUUUGACCUAUUAUAAUUAUUUUUGUUGUAAAUUUCUGGUUGAUUUAAUUUCACUGCUGGGAUAAAAACAUUUGAGAUACAUGUUGUCCUACAAAUUAAACCUCUCAACUAAUCCCACUAGAUACUACAUAGUAUCAAUUGCUAAAUAAAGAGACAAGAAUCUUUAAAGGGUUCGCCAAGCUUUGAAUACCCUGAAAUGGAUAUGAAUCCUAUGAUUAAUGCAGAGAGUAGCAGCAGCAGCAGCAGCAGCUGUGAGCUUCUCAAAGCUCAAGCUCAGGUGUGGAAUUGUGCCUUCAAUUACACUAAUUCCAUGUCACUAAAAUGUGCCGUUGAACUUGGCAUACCAGAUGUUAUUCACAAACAUGGCCAGCCCAUGACUCUUUCACAGAUAGCUUCAGCACUCGAUAUCCAAAAAAACAAAGCUCAUUGCAUUCAACGCCUUAUGCGGAUUCUAGUUCACUCUGGCUUCUUUGCUCAACAAAAUAAAAUUGACAAAGACGAAUCAGAAGUGUAUUAUUCUCUUACACCAGCUUCUCGACUCCUCCUAAAGGAUGAGCCCUUGAGGGCCGCACCAUUUAUGUUUCUGAUAACCCAUCCUACAGUAACGACUCCCUUCAAUUUCUUGAGCUCUUGGUUCAAGAAUGAUGAUCCCUCUACGCCCACAGUGUUUGAGUCAACGCAUGGGAAAGACAUUUGGGGUUGUUUGGCUCAAGAAGCUAAAUUUAAAAACGUCUUUUAUGAUGCCAUGAUGGCUGACUCUCAGUUCAUAUCAAGCGUUCUGAUUAAAGAUUGUAAGGAGGUAUUCAAGGGGCUGAAGUGUCUGGUUGAUCUGGGUGGCGGCACUGGAACUAUGGCCAAAGCCAUCGCAGAAGCCUUUCCUGAAAUGAAAUGCAUCGUUUUUUAUCUCCCACAUGUCGUUGAUAAUAAUUUGCAGAAGCAGCAGGGGACUAAUAAGAACCUGGAAUUUCUUGGAGGCGACAUGUUUGAAGCAAUACCUCCAGCAGAUGCAGUUCUGCUCAAGGUAAUUAAAUUGAUUAAUAAUAGGAUUUCUAUUUUCUCUCCCACUUAAAUAUUAAUGUUUCAAUACUGAUAUAUACAGAGUCAUAACCUCAUUCUACAAAUAGCAGUCGCAUAUAUAACAAUUUUGGUCGAAGAAAAUAGAGUGGGGUUAUUUUAACUUAAAUUUUCUACUUAAAAUUUUGAAUUAUUUAUUUUAUACAAUCUAAUUUUAGAUAAAUUGAAUGUCAAAAUAACAUUUAAUGAUGUCAAAAUUCCUCCCUUAUUGUAUUGAAUAAGAUCAAUGGCUCAAAUUUUGAGUAAAAGAUUUUAUAAAAAAUUCAAGUUGAAAUAGACUCAUUCAAAUAUAAAAUAUUAAUGAAAAUUAAUUACAUACAUCAUGUGGAGUUUUUUAUUUUAUCAAAUCAACAUUGUUAUACUACAUCAGUUUGCACAAAGAGUUUGUGGAUCUAGUAUUACUGUUUUCUAUAUAUUAACAGAAUUCCAAGAUUUUUAACUUGUUAAUUAAAUUUAUAUGACAAAAUAUAUCUAUGAAGUGGGUUCUGCAUAACUGGGGUGAUGAAGAGAGCGUGCAGAUAUUGAAGAAGUGCAAAGAAGCUAUUGAUGGGAGCAAAGAUAAAGGAGGGAAAGUGAUUGUCAUAGACAUGGUCAUAGAAGAUCAAAGCAUAGACAAGGACUCAACCGAGACACAAUUGUGCUGUGACAUGUUGAUGAUGUCUUUAUUCAGUGUGGCCAAAGAGCGGAGCAUCAAAGAAUGGAAGAAGCUCUUCUUAGAAGCUGGUUUCAGCCAUUACAAUGUAAAUUCUACUUUUGGUCUGAUCCCAAUACUGAUAGUGAGCCGUUGAAGUGUAAGCAGGGAUUUGUCCCGGCCAUACCCCCAAAAUCGGGUAUUUAGCUAAAAAUACCCCCAUACUCCAAAAUUCCUCACAUAUGCCCUUUUUAAAGUGCAAAUACGAAAUUACCCUAAAUGAAAACCUAAAUCAUCUCAAGCAUUCACAACCAAGCUGCAACACAACCCCCAAAUUUCAUUCACGACCAGCCAGCAUUAUCAUUCACUACUAGCGUUCUCCAAGAACUCCGGUGAAGUCGCUCCGGUGGGCUUUGAGGUGAGAUGAACACCGACGAUGCUUCUACUGCUGGUAUUUCGCACUCUUGCUGCUGCUUGUUUUAACACCCAAAUCUGCUAUUUUAAAGGGAAAGUGGCCAAAUUAAAGUUGAGUCACCACAUCUACAAUUGAUUUUAGCAUAUGCUGGUUUUAUUGCACUAUUUUUUGUUACCCUAUUUUGAAUAUCUUGUUAAAAAAUUAAACUUCAACUUGACAAUUUUAUGCAAACCACGGUGGAUUUUAGCUUUGCUUCAAGAGGUAAUUAUCAAUGGAACUUUUUGACUGGGGUUUUUGAAAUACAAGUUAUGCAACUCAAGAGAGUGGGUGAAUUUGAUAUUUAAGCGCUGACAUCAUAAGGGUAAUUUAGUCUUUUUUUAAAAAUGACAUGUCAUCUCAUUUACAUAGUAAAAAACGACAUGUCAUAUGCUAUAUUUUGAUAAAAAUGACAUGUCAUCCCAUUUAUCAGAUAAUUGUUAAUAAUUGCUAAAAAAAAAAAAAUUACUUUACAACCGAAUCUACUCCUCCAAAAUUUAACCUAAAUUAUUGAAGAUCUACUCCUCCAAGCUCCACCUUGAAUUUUUUAUGAUAUAAUAUGUAUAAUUAUAAAUAAUAUGUUGUUAAUGAUUUUUAUGGUAUAAGAUGAAUAUUUUUUAUGAAUAAUUGUUAAUAAUAUGUACCAUUAAUAAUUUAUUUUUUUAAUUAAAAAAUGUAUUGUUAAUAACAAAAUUAAAAAAAAUUGUGUAUUGAAAAUUUACAUUAAUUUUCAAGGCAAAAUUAUUUUUUUACCUCAUUUUGAGUUUAAAGGGUAAAAUAGUCAUUUUGCUCAAAUUCCGUUAAGUUCUUAACGGCAGUUAACGGAAAGGUGGACGGUAGAAGUGUUUUGUCAACUUAGGGUAUACGAGUGAUGCACUUGAAAAGUGUUGUAGCACGUUUGAUAUUGGUGUCACUUAAAGGUAUACCGGUGAUAAUUUCCCUUUAAAAAAUAAGCAUGCAAAUCACACAAUAAUUCAUUCUAAUGCCUUAAUGAAAUCGAAAGUAAUAAAUUCAAUAAAUAAAAAAAUAAAAGGGUAAGGGAAGAGAAAAACAAACACGAGGAUUUUUACGUGAUUCGGCAAUCCCCGCCUACAUUCACGUCUCUAAGCACACAAUUUCACUAUCCAAGCCUCUCAAUGCUUCAAACACUUACAAUUGACUUCCAAUGUAUUAAUGAACCUUUACAACAAGAGAUUAUUUUCAAUAUCUUAUUCCAAGUGUAUCCCAACACUUACAACCUCUCAAUUUGAUUUUACAAAAAGAAUUAUAAAUCUUUCUCUCACACAAUGUGUUUGAAUACAAAUAAAAGCUCAAUAUGUGUGAAAAAGUGAAAUGAAUACAAAGUUUAUGCUCUUAGAUUUACAGAGAAUUGCUCAAAAUAUCAAUGGUUGUCUUAUCUAAAAUGAAUUUGAUUUGAGCCAAUUUAUAAUUGAGGAAGAAAACUAGUUGUUAUUGACUUUCUGGUGAUAAUUGGCUUGCCGCUUUUGUGAAUCUGGUUAGCUGCUUCAUGUUACCGUUAUGUUAAAAAAUUUAAAUUUUUGCACAUCCGGUAUACCGCUUUCAUGAAUCCGGUUAGCCGCUUUCAUUCCAGAGAGUUUCUGCACAUAACCGGAUUGCCGCUUUAUAACAUCCGGUUAGCCGCUUUGCUACAGUGCCGGCUACAGUGAAAUAUUUUCUAAAAUUAUAGUUUUACUCCAAAACUUUCUAUAACUGUAUUAUGGCCCAAAACGUUAUGAAUAGUUACAAAUGGUCCAAUUUCAGAAUUUCUAAAAUAAUACUUGUUAUUCCCAAAUUUUUCUGAAAUUAUUAUAUUGCCCAAACUAUGUGAAAUUAUAGAAUAGCCCAAAAGAUUUAAAUAUUUUCAAAAACUUCCAAAUCCAAAAUUCAAAACAAUAUUUAUUAAAAUCAAAGAUUGUAAAAUUCUUUCAUUUUAGUUCAUAACUUGAAAAACAACUUAACUCCAUAAAAUCAUUUUCUUAUUAUAAAAGCACAAUAUAUAAAUCUUUGUUUAAUUACUCUCAAUUUUCUUUAACCAAAAUAUGUGAUUUGAUAUCAUCAAAAUCAAUAUUUAUAGCCAUAUAGGCUAACAGUUUUUUAAUUUACUAAUUUUAAUCCUUCACAUUGUAAUAUUUAUUUACACAACUCUAUGCAUAUUUAACCGUUCGUGUGAAGAUCAAAAUCCGAUGUGCUUCAAACCCUAGGAUAAGGAACUGUUUGCUAUAAUUACCAGUACAAAUGCAGCUGAAGCUAAACACUUUUUCCUUGUAAGAUUCCAAGUUUUUCAUAUGUGGCUCAAGGAAGGAUUCACUUUUGAUAUAUUACAAAGAAGUAAAUCUAGUGCUUAUUUUUCGCCUAAAUGGAGUGUUGUGUAUAUAGAAAGGAUGAGAAAAUUGAUCAUUUGUCUAUUGCUUCAUGUUUAAGGGUGUUGUAUUAACAAAAAGGCAGUGAAGUUUUUUCAAGUCAUUCCAACUUCCUAUGCCUCCUUUUUUUAUGAAUAAUCAUUACAUUUUCUUGGACGGUAGAAAGCCAAGUCUUUGUGAAGUUAUAUUGUGCAACUUUUAUUUAGAUUAUUUGGCAAGAAAUGAAUAGGAGAGUUCUUGAUAAUGCUUACGAGGGACUUAUUUUUUUCUAUUUUGUUUUGCCUUGAUGUUGGCUACUCGUUCAUCUUUACUAUAAUCCUUCCGUUUGAUCUAAUAAAUCUAUUAGGAAGACAAUUUUUUUAUGCAUUACUUUAUUUUCUACAGAGGCAAAGAAUUAUUUAUGGUUUAUAUACUCGACUGUAAUGGUGUAAUGAAUACUUUACUCGAUUGUAGUCGUGUAAUGAUGUUACUAUACUCAAAUUUAGUUGUGUAAUGUAUAUUUUACUCGACUGUAGUCGUGUAAUAUAUACUUUACUUGACUGUAGUCGAGUAAUGCAUAUUUUAGUCAAAUGUAGUCGUGCACUGGAUACUUUAAUCGACUGUAGUCGUGUAAGGAAAAUUAUUCUCGAUUAGAAUGGCAUGCAAUUUUUCUGAUUGGUUUAGAAUUUAUUAUUAUGCAACUUUAUUUGUACUUAUAUUAUAAUUCAAAUAUUUUCUUUUUGUUUAUGCAGAUGGAAUCGAAAAUCAAGGAAUAUGAAAACUUUAAAGCCAAGAUUUCUAACCGAUCAUCACUAGAUGCAGAGGAGGAUAUAAAAAAUAAACUCUUUGAGGAGCAAAAAAAUAUUUUUAGGCAUUCUUGUUUCGGUCAUUUUUUGGAUGUGAAAGAGUUGAAGUUUUUGCUCAGUUACUCCACAGCAUACCACUGAGAGAAGUGAAGACCGAUGAGAAGAAAAUGUGGUUUAAGAUUUGGCCGUUUGCGUUGGUAACAUGAUAAAAUGCAGUCCAUUGUAUGAGUCGAAUCAUGCGAGUAUGUAACAUUCCGCAACAAAAAUCAGGGUAUAUUGUUUUUUCGACUUAGCAAUAAGAAUGGUGAUUUCUAACAAUUGAUUUAUAUGAUUUUUUUUAGUGGUGAUUGUAGAGCAUUUUUGUUGCGGUACUUGGAGGUCAUGGGCCAUAGACUUGAUUUCAAUUCAUAUUGCCAACAAGAUGAUGUUACACAAUUUCAAAAAGUAUUAGUUUUUAAAUUAUUUGGGCAUAGGUCUGAAAUACUAUCUAAGCAACUCAAGAAAGGGGGUGAAUUGGGUUAUCAAAAUUUUUGCAAAACAAACCACACAACAAUUUAAAUCUAAUGCCUUAAUAAGAACAAAAACAAUGAAUUUAAUCAAGUAAGAUAAUACAAGAGUAAGGGAAGAGAAAUCAAACACGUGAUUGUUACGUGGUUCGGCUAACCGUGCCUAUGUCCACGCCGCCAAGCUCACCGGGCUUGAGGAUUCCACUAAGCAAGCCUCCAAGGCUUUAACUGCUCUUACAAUUGACUUCCAAGGUGUCAAUGAACCUUUACAAUAAGAAAUUAUCCCCAAUCUCUUAACCCAAGUGUAUCCCAACACUUACAAUCUCACAAUUUGAUUUUAAAGAAUAUUACAAGAUAAAUCUCUCUCACACAAUGUGUUUGAUUACAAAUGAAAAUCCAAAGUGUGAGUAAAAUGAAAUGAAUAUAAGAAUUUUAGGCUCAAUGAAAGUUGUAUGCUCAAUAAUUUACUCAAUGAUAAUUGUUGGAAUCAUUUUUAUUUGAAUUUGAUUGAACUUAUUUAUAGUUGGAGCUAGAAACUAGCCGUUAUUGACUUUCUGCUCACUGUCGGAUCACCGUUAACUAGAUGUCAGAUUGCCAUUUAACUAGUCAAUAUGACCGUUGGGGUGAAUUUCAAAUUGUCGGAUCGCCGUUUUCAAAAUGCCGGGUCGUCGUUAGUGUCCAGAGGCUAAUCUUCAUUUUUGCUCGAUGUCGGCGAGCCGUUAUCAAGAUGUCGGAUCACUGUUUUCUACAGUGAAUGCUACAGUGAACUUAUUUUUAUAAAAUUAUAGUUUAGCCCCCAAACUUUAUAAAAUUAUAUUAUGACCUAAAACAUUAUAAAACUUGUCACACAAGUCUAUUUCUAGAAUUUCAAGCAAUAUUUGCUAAUUUCAAAGUUCUCAAACCUUUUUCAAUUUAAAUCAUUAACAUGAAAAUUAUAAAAUUACUUUUUAUUGAAUAUAAAGCCUUUAUAGUAUGAAAACUAUAUGAAAGAAUAAUUUGAUCUUUUAAAACAUUUUUAAUCAAGUUUGUUAUCAUCAAAAUCAAUAUUAAAAAAAUAUUUAUGUUAACAAGGUCGUGGAAAAAAAUUACAUAGUGUCCCACCCUUAAAAACUUCAUUGAUGUGUCUUUUUUUUGCGUUACUUAUCGUGAGAUGUAAUGGUUACAAUGAGGAUGUUGUUGAUAUUUAAUAUAAUUAAAGAUAAUUUGACAUCAUACAAAUGCUUUAUUUUUUUAAUCAAUUAACUAUUUUUUAUUACCGGGGAGAAUUCUAUGAUACAUACUUAAAAGUCAAAUAAGGAAACAAUAAGGUUCCAGCAAUUAAGAAAAACAUGCAGGCUGAUAAAUUUAGAAAAUACAAGUGAUUGUUGUUUACAUGUACAGCAUGGGACACAACUAACACAUUAUUCAAGAUCACCUCAGAAUUAGCAAGAUUACAAUUAGAGAUGUUAUACUUAAGGCCUAUUUGAGAUUGAAACUGGACAGUUGUAAUUUAAAAACUACAGUACUAAUGUAUUUGAUAAAUAUUAGCUGCCGUAUUUUGAAAGCUAAAUUGAUUUAAUUUUACAUAUGUAUAAUGAAAAAUUUAUUAUAUAUUUACUAAUUUUAUCAAAAUUAUUAUUUCAAAAUUAUAUUUAUUACAUAAUAUUAAAUUAUAUUUCAUAAUUAUAAUUUAUUUUCACAGCAAUUGUAAAGUUACAGCACUUCAAUCCUAAAAAAAGACACAAUAAUUCAGAUUUGGUGUCCGUUCGUAUUAUUAAUUAAGGAAACCCUCAAUAUUACUUCACUUCACGUGAUUCUCUUUGUAGCCUAAUUCCGAAAGCAUUUAUAAUCAACAUGAUAUUUCUUUCUCCAAUUAGGUUCUUUUCCUUAGACGUCUUGGAUGGAAUAAAUGAUGCCUUACCCCAAACUGCAAGUUGCAUAUUUUUUCGAUGAUUAGGCACGCCGGAUGUUAGCAGAAUUAAUUUUCUAAGUGGGUCUUCUGAAUUAAUUUUAUUAUUUGGAUAACAAGAUUUAGCAGAUCUGAUUACGUACAUUUGAGCCAUAUCUUGCAAUAAUUUUCGACCGACGGCGAGAAUCACGUGGCAAUAAAAAAUUAAAUUUUCACAAUAAUUUUUGUCACAACCUCUAUGAUCCCCAUCUUUUUCUUUUAAUUUAACCCUUAGCAAGUUAUUAAUUUAGUUAGCAAUUAGAUGCAUUCAGAAAAACGUUUUUUAAAACACUCCAACGCCUUUUCUUUUGGAUGGCACGACAGAAAAUUAUUAUGAACGCAUAUUAACGGUUUGUUUGGUAUUGUAGUCAGGUGGUUAUAAUUUGAAACUACAUCUUUAAAGUAUAUUGUAAACAUUUGUUAUUGUAUUUUGAAAACUGAGUUAAUUUUCUCCACAUUUGUAUGAUAAAAAAUCUACACAUUUUUAUUAUUUUUGUUAAAAUUAUUAUUUAGAAGUCAUAUUUAUCCUACACCAUCAACUUUUAUUUAACAAUUAUAAUUUAUUUAUUUUUACAAGACCUUAAAUAAAAACAACAACACUUUAAUAUCAAAUGGGGCCUAAUAGUAUAUAUGACUCUUUCGCUAUUAUAUAUAGAGCUCAAAUCCAUUGAUUUGCAUCAAAUAUCAAGUAACCCUACUUAGCCUAAUAAGGAUGAAUUUGAUCGAUGGAGACCAUGAUACUGAGCUACUUGAAGCUCAAGCUCAUGUUUGGAAUCACAUUUUCAAUUUCAUAAACUCCAUGUCACUUAAAUGCGCUGUUGAAUUAAGCAUACCAGAUAUUAUCAACAAACAUGGCAAACCCACGACCCUCAACGAUCUUGUUAGUGCCCUAACAAUAAACCCAUCAAAAACCCGAUGUGUGUAUCGCUUGAUGCGCAUUCUGAUCCACUCAGGCUUCUUUGCACAGCAAACGCUAAAUAGCAGCCGAAAUAACAAUGACGAAGAACAAGGUUAUGUUCUUACAAAUGCUUCUAAACUUCUCCUAAAAGACAGCCCCUUAAGCGUGACACCUCUCUUGCAAGCCGUGCUAGAUCCUAUUUUGCUAUCACCGUGGCUGAAACUGAGCACUUGGUUUCAAAGCGACGAUCCUGCGCCGUUUGAUAUGGUACAUGGGAAGAGUUUUUGGGAGUAUGCUGGGGACGAGCCAAAGAUUAACAAUUUCUUCAAUGAAGCCAUGGCAAGUGAUGCGCGGUUGGCAACAAGAGUGGUGAUACAUAAGUGUAAGAAUGUGUUCGAAGGUUUGAAUUCGUUAGUGGACGUGGGUGGGGCCACGGGAACUGUGGCCAAGGCCAUAGCUAAAGCGUUUCCAAAUUUGGAAUGCACUGAUUUUGAUCUGCCGCAUGUGGUUAAUGGCCUCGAAAGCGAUUUGGCCAAUCUCAAAUAUGUUGGAGGGGACAUGUUUGAGGCCAUUCCCCCAGCCGAUGCUGUUGUACUCAAGGUACGCGUAUUAAUUUUUAUAGUUUAACUAAAGUGGUUUCUUGAGCAUAAAAUUAAUAUAUAUACUAGAAGGAUCUCGAAUUACUUAUGUACACCAUAUACUCAUUUAAUUUU
rnacentral:lncRNA from 1 species